rnacentral:rRNA from 1 species
AACUGCCUGAUGGAGGGGGAUAACUACUGGAAACGGUAGCUAAUACCGCAUAACGUCGCAAGACCAAAGAGGGGGACCUUCGGGCCUCUUGCCAUCGGAUGUGCCCAGAUGGGAUUAGCUAGUAGGUGGGGUAACGGCUCACCUAGGCGACGAUCCCUAGCUGGUCUGAGAGGAUGACCAGCCACACUGGAACUGAGACACGGUCCAGACUCCUACGGGAGGCAGCAGUGGGGAAUAUUGCACAAUGGGCGCAAGCCUGAUGCAGCCAUGCCGCGUGUAUGAAGAAGGCCUUCGGGUUGUAAAGUACUUUCAGCGGGGAGGAAGGCGAUAAGGUUAAUAACCUUGUCGAUUGACGUUACCCGCAGAAGAAGCACCGGCUAACUCCGUGCCAGCAGCCGCGGUAAUACGGAGGGUGCAAGCGUUAAUCGGAAUUACUGGGCGUAAAGCGCACGCAGGCGGUCUGUCAAGUCGGAU